rnacentral:rRNA from 1 species
GACGAACGCUGGCGGCGUGCUUAACACAUGCAAGUCGAACGGAAAGGCCCUGCUUUUGUGGGGUGCUCGAGUGGCGAACGGGUGAGUAACACGUGAGUAACCUGCCCUUGACUUUGGGAUAACUUCAGGAAACUGGGGCUAAUACCGGAUAGGAGCUCCUGCUGCAUGGUGGGGGUUGGAAAGUUUCGGCGGUUGGGGAUGGACUCGCGGCUUAUCAGCUUGUUGGUGGGGUAGUGGCUUACCAAGGCUUUGAUGGGUAGCCGGCCUUAGAGGGUGACCGGCCACGUUGGGACUGAGAUACGGCCCAGACUCCGACGGGAGGCAGCAGUGGGGAAUAUUGCACAAUGGGCGGAAGCCUGAUGCAGCAACGCCGCGUGCGGGAUGACGGCCUUCGGGUUGUAAACCGCUUUCGCCUGUGACGAAGCGUGAGUGACGGUAAUGGGUAAAGAAGCACCGGCUAACUACGUG